GCAGCAGGAGCACAAGGAAGAAUGUAAGGGCAUCAGAAUAAAUUUUAUUCAGUGCCUACAGUAACAGGGAAAACAAGAAAAACAAGCUUCUCAGGGGAAACUUUUCAAAGUAACUCAGUACUCUGUUUUCACAAUAGUGAAAACAAAAGCAUCUAGUUUCAAUACUCCGGGAGUUAAUCAAACAUCCUCUUUCAAAGGUGGUUACCCUUUUCUGAAUCAUCUACUUGAAGUGAAGGGGGUUUUUUUCCACCUGAGGAGAUGGAAGAAUUGAGUGAAAUGUAAUCACCUGUCAGUAACUUUGGUCUGAAGCAGCCAAUUGAUGAAAUCCCUGGUA